rnacentral:rRNA from 1 species
AUUGAACGCUGGCGGCAGGCCUAACACAUGCAAGUCGAACGGUAACAGGAAACAGCUUGCUGUUUCGCUGACGAGUGGCGGACGGGUGAGUAAUGUCUGGGAAACUGCCUGAUGGAGGGGGAUAACUACUGGAAACGGUAGCUAAUACCGCAUAACGUCGCAAGACCAAAGAGGGGGACCCUCGGGCCUCUUGCCUUCGGAUGGGCCCAGAUGGGAGUAGCUUGUUGGUGGGGUAACGGCUCACCAAGGCGACGAUGGGUAGCUGGUCUGAGAGGAUGACCGGCGAGAUGGGGAAGGAGAGACGGGACAGACGACUAAGGGAGGCAGCAGUGGGGAAUAUUGAAGAAGGGGCGGAAGCAUGAUGCAGCAACGCCGAGGGCGGGAUGACGGCCGUCGGGUUGUAAAACGCGUUCGCCUGUGACGAAGCGUGAGUGACGGGAAUGGGUAAAGAAGCAAGGGCUAACUACGUG